rnacentral:rRNA from 1 species
GACGAACGCUGGCGGCGUGCUUAACACAUGCAAGUCGAACGGAAAGGCCCUGCUUUUGUGGGGUGCUCGAGUGGCGAACGGGUGAGUAACACGUGAGUAACCUGCCCUUGACUUUGGGAUAACUUCAGGAAACUGGGGCUAAUACCGGAUAGGAGCUCCUGCUGCACGGUGGGGGUUGGAAAGUUUCGGCGGUUGGGGAUGGACUCGCGGCUUAUCAGCUUGUUGGUGGGGUAGUGGCUUACCAAGGCUUUGACGGGUAGCCGGCCUGAGAGGGUGACCGGCCACAUUGGGACUGAGAUACGGCCCAGACUCCUACGGGAGGCAGCAGUGGGGAAUAUUGCACAAUGGGCGGAAGCCCGAUGCAGCAACGCCGCGUGCGGGAUGACGGCCUUCGGGUUGUAAACCGCUUUCGCCUGUGACGAAGCGUGAGUGACGGUAAUGGGUAAAGAAGCACCGGCUAACUACGUGCCAGCAGCCGCGGUGAUACGUAGGGUGCGAGCGUUGUCCGGAUUUAUUGGGCGUAAAGGGCUCGUAGGUGGUUGAUCGCGUCGGAAGUGUAAUCUUGGGGCUUAACCCUGAGCGUGCUUUCGAUACGGGUUGACUUGAGGAAGGUAGGGGAGAAUGGAAUUCCUGGUGGAGCGGUGGAAUGCGCAGAUAUCAGGAGGAACACCAGUGGCGAAGGCGGUUCUCUGGGCCUUUCCUGACGCUGAGGAGCGAAAGCGUGGGGAGCGAACAGGCUUAGAUACCCUGGUAGUCCACGCUGUAAACGGUGGGUACUAGGUGUGGGGUCCAUUCCACGGGUUCCGUGCCGUAGCUAACGCUUUAAGUACCCCGCCUGGGGAGUACGGCCGCAAGGCUAAAACUCAAAGGAAUUGACGGGGCCCCGCACAAGCGGCGGAGCAUGCGGAUUAAUUCGAUGCAACGCGUAGAACCUUACCUGGGUUUGACAUGGAUCGGGAGUGCUCAGAGAUGGGUGUGCCUCUUUUGGGGUCGGUUCACAGGUGGUGCAUGGCUGUCGUCAGCUCGUGUCGUGAGAUGUUGGGUUAAGUCCCGCAACGAGCGCAACCCCUGUUCACUGUUGCCAGCACGUUAUGGUGGGGACUCAGUGGAGACCGCCGGGGUCAACUCGGAGGAAGGUGGGGAUGACGUCAAGUCAUCAUGCCCCUUAUGUCCAGGGCUUCACGCAUGCUACAAUGGCUGGUACAGAGAGUGGCGAGCCUGUGAGGGUGAGCGAAUCUCGGAAAGCCGGUCUCAGUUCGGAUUGGGGUCUGCAACUCGACCUCAUGAAGUCGGAGUCGCUAGUAAUCGCAGAUCAGCAACGCUGCGGUGAAUACGUUCCCGGG